AGGAGGCGGGACUCCAACUCAGCCAAGAGAGAACACAAGCUGCCCAACCCACAGUCCUCAGCAGAAAGCACUGGCCUGAGGCCAAGGAAUGGGACAAGCAGAACAUCCGUGGUCAGCCGUCCAGGAAGCAUCCCAGACCAGCCACCCCACAGUAGACAUGGUGGAGACCCAGAAGGUCCAGCAAAUGCCAUGUGGACUGGAGCCUGCCCCCUCCACCUGUGAGAUGACGGAAGAGGCUCAUGUGGACCAUGACACCAGAUGAGGCAGACAUGACCGUUUCCAUUUUGACACGUGCAGAAACCAAGGUCUGGUGAUGAAAUAUCUCCUUCAUGGUCAAGAGGCACUGGGUGCAAAGCUACAGCAGGAGCUGGACUUCCCCAUCCCAGCUCCACACCCCUCCUGCAGGGCUGUGGGCUUCUCCCGAGACUGGGGAGGAGUUGCCCACGUCCACGGGCCAGUGGAACGACGGUGAAAAGCGCUUAUGCUUGGAAGCGCGCCUUCAGUUUCCCAUUUGCGCCCUCAUCAUAUCUUCUAGUCUUCAUUCAGGGAAACCUUCGACUGAAGAUGUCCCUUUGGCAUCUUUGCACCUGGUGGUGGGGGUGUGGGGAGGGGGUGGCAUGAGUCUUCAUUCCCUUCGUGAUGCCAGAUGUUCGCCAUGGCACUGAGCUAUUGAACAGGGGGUUUUCUUUUUUCCCUCUUUUCUCCCAAGGAUCGCCUAAAAUUGAAACCUCUGUAUUGGCUGCAGUUUUCCUCCAUCUGCAAAAACACAUUAGAAAGAGAAAGAGGUUGGCAACUGACUUCAGGCUUUUCCCCCAGAGUGUUACUUACCUGACUUUAACCAGAUGCUGUGUAUCAGCCCUUCUCCCUCCUCCGUGCUCAGGCGGCAAAAGACAGAAGAAAUACAAGGAAUGCUUGUUAUGCUGUGGACUCUCUCCCCCCCCUCUUUCUCUUUCUUUCCUUUUUUUUCUUUUUUUUUUUUUUUAUCCCAGGACCGGAUAUACAAGUUCCAGAAGAGGAAUAUACAUCCCCAGAGUCUGAAAUCAAAUCUGGAAUUCAUAUCCUCUGUAAAUGUACUUUAUUAAAAGCAGGAAUCAAAAAAGA